rnacentral:rRNA from 1 species
AUUGAACGCUGGCGGCAGGCCUAACACAUGCAAGUCGAACGAGUGGCGGACGGGUGAGUAAUGUCUGGGAACCUGCCCGAUGGAGGGGGAUAACUACUGGCAACGGUAGCUAAUACCGCAUACCAUCGGAUUUGCCCAGAUGGGAUUAGCUCGUGGGUGGGGUAACGGCUCACCUAGGCGACGAUCCCUAGCUGGUCUGAGAGGAUGACCAUCCACACGGGAACGGAGACACGGCCCAGAUGCCUACGGGAGGCAGAAGUGGGGAAUAUUGCACAAUGGGCGAAAGCCUGAUACAGCCAUGCCGCGUGUAUGAAGAAGGCCUUCGGGUUGUAAAGUACUUUCAGCGAGGAGGCGUUACUCGCAGAAGAAGCACCGGCUAACUCCGUGCCAGCAGCCGCGGUAAUUC